rnacentral:lncRNA from 1 species
AUUUAAGGAUGUACUUAGGUGAGGUUUUGGAAUUCGUGUCAAAUGUUCAGACUCCUUGGUUUUUUUCCAUAAUAUGAGGCAGGCAUUACCUGUGAAUGGGGACGAAGUUUGUUUAAAUUAUUUUUUUUUGUAUUUUUAAAAAAUAUUUGUUAAAAAAAAGAUACGGAAAUACCGUAACGUUUCCGAUUUUGGUUCUGUUGUUAGGGAUUUUACUUGUGACGUUAUUUAAGUUAUGACGUCAUGUUCAAUGUAAACAAAGAAAUGCAAUGCAUCAGGUAGGCCUAACGUUUAUUC